ACCAAUUUUUCAAGACGUUUCGGCCAUUGGCCUUCUUCAGUUUUUUAUUUUUCCUCUCAACUACAUGGCUGACAUUGCAUUUGUAUUUUUCAAAGAAUGUUAGCCAUGUAGUUGAGAGGAAAAAUAAAGAACUGAAGAAGGCCAAGGGCCGAAACGUCUUGAAAAAUUGGU
rnacentral:sRNA from 1 species